UCCCUCUCGCUCCAUAGAGGCCGUCCAACGUCAGGACUCACCCCGCAGGCGUCCGCCAACGCAUCCAUCGUUUAGUAAACAGGCCAAACCAAAAGCCCCCAAAUUUCAGCAGACUUUAAUUUAAAAUUAACGAAGCGAGUAAACGGGCCACGAUACGGAGAGCUACGUCCCCGGAGCAGGGAACGGGCUGCGGCGUUCGGGACGGCGCGCCGCAGCUCCGGAGCGAACCGCUACCGUUUCCUCAGGCGGAGCGCCGCAAAAACCCCCGUGAAACUCCCCCAAAACCCCACCAACACCCGCGCGGAAGAAGCGUGGCCGCUCCUCUCGCAAGAGGGAGACCGAAAAAGAAAGGAGGCACGGGGCAGAGGAAACCAACCGUCCCGAGGGAACGCGGCCGAGGAGUGUAAUUCGUUAAAGAGCGCGAUGUUUUGGAGGACCCGCUGCGUGCACCCGCGGAGCCCAGCUUCCCCCCGCUCCUCCUCGAAGCCUGCUGUUUUAGCUUUCCCUGGAAGGAGCCAGUUGUGCAAGAGCAACAGUACCCUCCAGAGGGUGCCGUUUUGUUGUCGCAGAUCGCAGCCGGCCGGUCAGCUCCAUCCGCUAUAUGCAAAGCCAUAAGCCCCGCUGACGGCUCGCCCAGCCGGGCUGCCCGCUAGCUGCAGGCCUCGCGGCGGGGACUGCGCGGCGCUUUCCCGAGGAGCGAGCCGGCACCGUGGAUGGGAGCUAUGAACAUUUCACCUCUGCUUCCCCUGCAGGAAAAACCAGGCUGUGCCGCGUGCUGUAAAUGCCUUUCACGUGUUCCCCAGACCCCAGUUAAAUUGAACCCCGCAAGGUCUCUCCAAGCAUGAAAAGCGCAUUUAUAAGAUGCUGGAAGGAAGAUGUUUUCCAUAACUACUCUGGUGACCAGGCGUGCUGACUUGUGUCAUGCGGAGAACGAACCAAAGGGGAGUAUUUCUUGUUAUUUCAUACCGCUGAUGGGAUUUUAUCUCUCACAACAGAUCCAGGAACUUUUUAGUUACUGUUAUUGUUUUAUUUUAUGGGCCAUUUGAUAUUUAUUUUUAUUUCUAUUCAUUAUUUGUUGAGUGCACUUAGUCCCUUCCCCAAGGAGCUUGCCUUAUAUCUAAGGUGAUUUUUAUGGCCAGUGUUAGCACAGUAUCUGAGCGACUCACACAACUUUAAUAAAUUUAUCCCACACGCGCA
rnacentral:lncRNA from 1 species